rnacentral:rRNA from 1 species
CCUACGGGUGGCAGCAGUGGGGAAUAUUGGGCAAUGGGCGCAAGCCUGACCCAGCAACGCCGCGUGAAGGAAGAAGGCUUUCGGGUUGUAAACUUCUUUUGACAGGGAAGAGCAGAAGACGGUACCUGUCGAAUAAGCCACGGCUAACUACGUGCCAGCAGCCGCGGUAAUACGUAGGUGGCAAGCGGUGUCCGGAUUUACUGGGUGUAAAGGGCGUGUAGCCGGGCUGACAAGUCAGAUGUGAAAUCCGGGGGCUCAACCCCCGAACUGCAUUUGAAACUGUUGGUCUUGAGUGUCGGAGAGGCAGGCGGAAUUCCUAGUGUAGCGGUGAAAUGCGUAGAUAUUAGGAGGAACACCGGUGGCGAAGGCAGCCUGCUGGACGACAACUGACGGUGAGGCGCGAAAGCGUGGGGAGCGAACAGGAUUAGAUACCCUUGUAGUC